UACGAAGGGGGCUAGCGUUGUUCGGAAUUACUGGGCGUAAAGCGCACGUAGGCGGCCUUCUAAGUCGAACGUGAAAUCCCCGGGCUCAACCCGGGAACUGCGUCCGAUACUGGGAGGCUUGAAUCCGGGAGAGGGAUGUGGAAUUCCAGGUGUAGCGGUGAAAUGCGUAGAUAUCUGGAGGAACACCGGUGGCGAAGGCGGCAUCCUGGACCGGUAUUGACGCUGAGGCGCGAAAGCCAGGGGGAGCCAAAGCGGGG
rnacentral:rRNA from 1 species